GAUGAACGCUGGCGGCGUGCAUAAUACAUGCAAGUAGAACGCUGAAGCUUGGUGCUUGCACCGAGCGGAUGAGUUGCGAACGGGUGAGUAACGCGUAGGUAACCUGCCUCUUAGCGGGGGAUAACUAUUGGAAACGAUAGCUAAUACCGCAUAAAAGACGAUAUCGCAUGAUGUUGAUUUGAAAGGUGCAAUUGCAUCACUAAGAGAUGGACCUGCGUUGUAUUAGCUAGUUGGUGAGGUAACGGCUCACCAAGGUGACGAUACAUAGCCGACCUGAGAGGGUGAUCGGCCACACUGGGACUGAGACACGGCCCAGACUCCUACGGGAGGCAGCAGUAGGGAAUCUUCGGCAAUGGGGGCAACCCUGACCGAGCAACGCCGCGUGAGUGAAGAAGGUUUUCGGAUCGUAAAGCUCUGUUGUAAGAGAAGAACGAGUGUGAGAGUGGAAAGUUCACACUGUGACGGUAACUUACCAGAAAGGGACGGCUAACUACGUGCCAGCAGCCGCGGUAAUACGUAGGUCCCGAGCGUUAUCCGGAUUUAUUGGGCGUAAAGCGAGCGCAGGCGGUUAGAUAAGUCUGAAGUUAAAGGCUGUGGCUUAACCAUAGUACGCUUUGGAAACUGUUUAACUUGAGUGCAGAAGGGGAGAGUGGAAUUCCAUGUGUAGCGGUGAAAUGCGUAGAUAUAUGGAGGAACACCGGUGGCGAAAGCGGCUCUCUGGUCUGUAACUGACGCUGAGGCUCGAAAGCGUGGGGAGCAAACAGG
rnacentral:rRNA from 1 species